ACCUAGUUUUUUUAACUAAAAGUUGAGAAGGCUAGGGAACACCAUUUAUUUCAUAUUAAGAUGGAAGACAAGAAAUGCUGUGGUUGCAAAACCGAAACAGCUAACUGCAGUAAAUGCAACUGUGGCGGUUGCAAAUGCUGCCAAAAAUAAGGCGAAAUUUCUCUAAAUUUCGUUUUAGAUAAAAAGCCAGUCGUAAGACUGGUUUUUUAUU
rnacentral:ncRNA from 3 species